UAAAUCCUAGCGACUGCGGGAAGGGACUAGCAUGGUUGGUGUGGCUCCCAGCUGAAUACAAAUACUCAGGCGGGACGGACGGGGGCGGCACGGCCCGCGGCGACAUACCUUCCUCGAGGCCGGCGGGCUCGGAGGCCUCGGAGUUGUGCACGGACAAGCCGCCGUGGCGACGCUCUCCCUGCGGCGGAUGGCCACGACGGCGUCGGCGGAGACGCAAUUGAUGGCGUCGAUGUAGCGCUGCCCGGUCUUGUCGACGGCGGCGAGGUGCGAGCCGGAGCCGGAGGCGGGCUGGUCGGCCCC
rnacentral:lncRNA from 1 species